UACGUAGGGCGCGAGCGUUGUCCGGAAUUAUUGGGCGUAAAGAGCUCGUAGGCGGCCUGUUGCGCUCGUGCUGUGAAAUCCCGGGGCUCAACCCCGGACUUGCAGUGGGUACGGGCAGACUAGAGUGUGGGUAGGGAGACUGGAACGUUCCCGGUGUAGCGGUGAAUGCGUAGAGAUCGGGGAGGAACACCAGUGGCGAAGGCGGCCUACCUGGACCAGCACUGACACUGAGGCACGAAGCGU
rnacentral:rRNA from 1 species